rnacentral:rRNA from 1 species
GCGCACCAGGCGAGAAUACUUUACAAUGUGCGAAAGCACGAUAAGGGAACUCUGAGUGCCUCCUAAGGAGGCUGUUCAGGUGUCUAAAAAGCACCUGGAGUAAGGGCUGGGUAAGACCGGUGCCAGCCGCCGCGGUAACACCGGCAGCCCAGGUGGUAGCCACUUUUAUUGGGUCUAAAGCGUCCGUAGCCGGUUGAGUAAGUUCCUUGGGAAAUUUGGCUGCUCAACAGUCAAGCUUCCAGGGAAUACUGCUCGACUUGGGACUGGGAGAGGUCAGAGGUACUCCAGGGGUAGGGUGAAAUCCAUUAAUCCCUGGGGGACCACCGGUAGCGAAGGCGUCUGACCAGACCAGGUCCGACGGUGAGGGACGAAGGCUAGGGUCGCGAACCGGAUUAGAUACCCCGGUAGU